UGUUUCUUGGAAUACAAGCUAAUAUGUUUACCACUUAAAUUCCAUGUUCUUGAAUGGAGAAAGAGGGUUUAAAUGAAGUUUAUGUUGAUCGAGCUAAAAUGUGGAAGAAAGCUCGAGUUAACAAACAAGGACAAUGUGACAACGACGACAUUCAGCAAGUCGUCCAUAAAAUAGAUGAGAUAUCAAUGAAUACAGAUUCAUCGUCUGUGAAUAGACACUAUUCAAAUGAUGUGUUAACUCAAGCAUUGGGUACAAAAGAGCACAAUGGUCGUGUGCGUGGGGUUGGUGGAUACGUUACUCCAACAACUUACUUUCAUUCAGUUAAGAAAACAUCAAAAGAUGAGACGAAAAUUCUAGUUGAGAAUGAAGAACUUCGUAGGUGAGUUAGUGAAUUAGAGGCACAAAUUUUCUCAAACUUGUCUACAUCAUUGUCUGCACACGGGAGUUGUUCAAGGCCAAUAAUGUUGGAAGGGAUUGAAGAGAAGGGUAAGACAAUAGAAGUGGAAUCGUUGGACAAACCAAAAGAGAAUUAAAAGAAAGGGAAGGAGGUGAUGAAGAUGAAUGAACCAGAGUUGGACGUCUUGAAGGUAUGUAAUCCACUAUUAAACUGGAAUGUCUAAUAUUGUACAUCUUACUGAAAGUGGAUGUUCUUGAAUUAGGAGACGGACUUAAUAAAAAUGCCUACAGAAAAAGAAGUUGUAUGUGAAUCGACAUCAACUUUGCCAUUAACGUUGAAGUCGAUUCUCAGAUAUGCUGAGAAGGUAAUGGAGAAAGAUUCCAGCAUCACUUUCUCACUACCCACUGACCUUUUUGGCAUUAGUCGAAAGAGUUCUGUGCUUCGAGAGGAUAUCAUUAAUCUUUGUAACAUGAACGAAGUUAAAACGUUUACAUUUGUGGCCUAUAUGAUGUAAGUCAAUUUCAUUCCUUUGCAUCUAAAUUUAUGUAUCUCCUUUACAAGUUUAUAUAUUUUGUAGGUGCUUGUAUUCAUCUGUUCUUGGUUCGAAAGAAAAUGUGCAGUAUGUCUUCGUAGAUCCGUCCCUAAUCUCUUCAGGAAACACACAAGAAUCUUGAAUUUGAAACUUGUCUAGUAGAUUGAUGGUGUCAAAAGCAAACCAAGUAGUUCUUGCUCCUUUUAAUCUAGGGGUCAUUGGGCACUGCUCGCCAUAAAUGCGUGUGAGGAGACAAUGUUUUACCUUGACUCACUAAGGAGGACAUCAAAAGCAACUACAAGAUAUGUAACCAACACUGUCCACUACAAGUCGGGAGCACUGCGUGUGGAUACUAUGUCAUGAAGCAUAUGAGAGAAAUUGUAAAUAGGGGAAGCAUUGUCAUCUCCAAUUCGAUAUGUUAUAUAUCAAACUAUUUUUUUUUUGUGGGUAUAAUAAAUUUCAUGAAUACUAAUUCAUUUUUUUUCAUGUCUACAGAUUGAUACACGAAAACCAUACUCACAAGCCGAGUUCGAUGAGGUGCGGGUUGAGUUGGUUGAGUUUUUGGGUUCGUACAUAUGAUUUAUGACUUAUUUGUCAUCUCUGAACAGGAAACUUUAUUUUUUGUGGUUGAUUUUUUGAAAUAUUCAUAGAGAGGGGGAGGGGGUUGAUUGUUGUACUUUUGAGAAUUUGUUGAGGUUUAGAGUUUGGGUGAAUUGUUGAUAGGUGAACUGUUUAUAUCUAGGGGUUGCCGUUACGAAACUUUAUGUAUUGGGGAUGAUAUACUUUUGGGCUAGGUUAG